CAACAGAAACAAUGCUUAAGAUGGCUACUAAUAUACAAUGGAGUCCUGUCCAGGCCAACGGUCUCCUGUGGCCCUGCAUAGGUAACAGUGUGGCAUCAAUUACUGCGGUGCUCCAGAGAACUGCGCAGGUAAGAAGAGAACACUGCACAGGGAAGAUACAGAGCAGAUCAGGGCUAAGUGUGAUUCCUGUGUCCAUCACAUUCGGGCCUGCACUUACGGCACUUGGAAGCACAAAAGCAGCAGUUACUGACCCUGGCGAUGAUCAUUAUGCUCUGUUUCUAUUAUAUCCAAAAGAUUUCACUGAAAGCAGGAUCUCCAAGAGAUGCCUACCCUUCUACGCUUACUGCUUCAGCAUUCACAACACCAAAGUUAUGGAAACAACCCAAACCCUUCAGAAGAGAACUGCAGAACAAACUUACUAUGAUUCAGACACAUCUGAUCAAAUUCCACCUGAAGAAAGUUAUUUGGCAACAGAAACUAACCCGGUCAUCACUAGGAAGGGUUUCACGGAUGUGCUCUGGAGUGCACAGCACACACCAACAGCUAAGGGAAACAGUGGCAGUCUCAGCGUGCUGACGGCUAUAACCUGCUGCAACAUCUGGAGAUCGUUUUGAAAACUGGUUCAAAAGCUUGUACUUUCAUAUUGUAGCAUUGGCACAUUGAGAAUGGUGGUCUUUGGCCUUCCUGUCAAUGGCCUGUAACCCCAUUUAUUCCUGAGGAACAUCCUUAGAAAAUAUGUGACCAAGUACUCCACAACAUUUUCAAGUUUAUACAAAACAAGAAGUUUGAGAAACCAUGUGCACCAAAAGGAAGCUAAGGAAGGUGAUGAUUAAAUAUGAUGUAGCAGCCUGAAUAGAAUUAUGAAACAGAAAAAGAAACUUAGAACAGUCGUGGUAUAUCUAGCUGUGACAUCAUCAGAUUUUUCAAUUUGAAAAUAUCACUCUAACUAUAACGUGGAAACAGAUUGAAAGGAGGUGGUGGGAACAAUCAGCUGCAGGAAGACCAGAGAGGAAGCUAAUUCUGUCCUCCACGCAGCAGAUGAUGGGAGUCUGGACUGGAAUGGUGGAAACGCAGAGAAACGGAAAUACCCCAAAUCCUACAUUUGUAAGAAGGGUCAUUCAUAACCUGGUGACUCCAGAUGAACAUGAGGAAGUGUGCUUCGUUUUCAAGAAACAAAAAAGAAAUCAUAUCAACCACCUUUCCUUACUUUACUUGGUUUAUUUGAAUAUAUUAAUAUUUUAC